rnacentral:rRNA from 1 species
UACGUAGGCAGCAAGCGUUGUUCGGAAUUACUGGGCGUAAAGAGUGUGUAGGUGGUGUCGUAAGUUUGGUGUGAAAUCUCCCGGCUUAACUGGGGGGGUGCGCCGAAGACUGCGAUGCUGGAGUAUGGGAGAGGAAAGCGGAAUUCCUGGUGUAGCGGUGAAAUGCGUAGAUAUCAGGAGGAACACCUGCGGUGUAGACGGCUUUCUGGACCAUUACUGACACUGAGACACGAAAGCGUGGGUAGCAAACAGG